CCUACGGGCGGCAGCAGUGAGGAAUAUUGGUCAAUGGUCGGGAGACUGAACCAGCCAAGCCGCGUGAGGGAUGAAGGUACAGAGUAUCGUAAACCUCUUUUGUCAGGGAACAAAGGCGGGGACGUGUCCCCGGAUGAGUGUACCUGAAGAAAAAGCAUCGGCUAACUCCGUGCCAGCAGCCGCGGUAAUACGGAGGAUGCGAGCGUUAUCCGGAUUUAGUGGGUUAAGAGGGUGCGCAGGCGGUCUGUUAAGUCAGCGGUCAAAGCCCGGGGCUCAACCCCGGCCCGCCGUUGAAACUGGCAGUCUCGAGUUGGAGAGAAGUAUGCGGAAUGCGCGGUGUAGCGGUGAAAUGCAUAGAGAUCGCGCAGAACUCCGAUUGCGAAGGCAGCAUGCCGGCUCCACACUGACGCUGAGGCACGAAAGCGUGGGUAUCGAACAGGAUUAGAUACCCUGGUAGUC
rnacentral:rRNA from 1 species